GAACGUGAGGGCAAUCUAGCCAUAACAUCUGUCAUCCCAUUGAUUACCAGGGUUGAUUCAGCUGAGCUGGCUGGCUAGGUGGGUGUCCCCCUUCUCCCUCACUAUGCCAUGUGCUUCCCUCCUGAAGCUACACUCAGUCUUAGGGAACAACUUACCCAAAUAUGUCCCCUGCUGAAACCUCCAAACAAAAUGAUUCAGGAUUUGCACAUGGCCUGCAGACAUGCUCCUAUAUACUUCAAGUCACCUCUAAAUUAAUUAUACCCACUGUAAUAUAAAUAUUAUUCAAAUAGU
rnacentral:snRNA from 1 species